GGCGGCGAGCCCCGGGGAGAGCGGCGAGCUCUGGGUGGGGCUCCAUUGUUGGCGGUGGGCAGCGGUUCCUGAUGGAGUCACCGAGUUCUGCGGGGAAAUCGGCACCGCGGCGGGUCGCAGGGUUCCUGGUGACAUGAGCAGCAGAGCACGAGCCGCAGGUGUUGGCUGAGCUGGGCAAGGUGCACAGGGCUCCUGGCAGCCCGCAGAUCCCCGAUUUCCCUGGGCAUGGAGGUGCCCUUUGUGCUGCUCCUGAGCCGGCUUGUGGCUGAAGUGGCUGGAAAAUCCCCAGAAAACUCAGUGCCGGGAGCCCCAGAGUGCUGUGAGGGGAGGUCAGACCCCAACGGCUCCUGCCCGCACUGCAGCCCAGGCUGCUACCGGCGCUGGAACGAGGACGGGAGCGGCGGCGGCUGCGUCCGGUGCCGGAACCAGAGCCUGGGGCAGCCCCUCGGUGACUGUGGCAGUGGGGGCCCUGAGGUCGCGGCUUCGCUGAUUUUGGGGACGUUUUUCCUCAGUUUGUUCCUGAUCCUUUCUGUGGCUUCUUUCUUCUACCUCAAAAGAGCAAACAAACUCCCAAAGGUUUUCUACAGGAGGAACAAAGCAUCUGUUCUGCAGCCUAGUGAAACAGCAUCCAUGAUCCCUCCUCCUGCUUCUUCAGUGCGGAAGCCGCGCUACGUCCGCCGCGAGCGCUCGCUGGGCCCGGCCGAGAGCCGGGUCAGCAACGUCUGAGCCCAGCUGGAGAUCCCGGAGAUCCCGAUCCUGGAAAUCCUGAUCCUGGGAAAUCCCAGCCCCAGGAGAUCCCGGGAGAUCCUGAUCCCAGGAGAUCCCAAUCCCAGAAAAUCCCGAUCCCAGGAAAUCCCAAUCCCGGGAAAUCCCGAUCCUGGAAAUCCCGAGGAUUCCUCAUGGAUUUGGGGGAUUUUCCCUGUUGGGGGAGAAUUCCUGAGGGAUCUGGGGGAUUUUUGGUGUUGGGGAGAAUUCAUGAGGGAUUUGGGGACUUUCCUUGGGAUGUGACCCCAAAAUCCUGGGAUUUGGGAUGUGGAUCCAUUCCGGGCUGGCAAAGGGAUCCUCUCAAGCCCCACUGCUUUAAGCUGGGACGGCAAUUAAUUAUGCUAAUUAAAAAUGAUAAUGAAUUAUCCUAAUUAAUAAUGCUAAUCAUGCUGAUUAACGAUGAAUAAUUAAAUAUUUCAACAAUGAAGAUGCAGAAUCCUUUGGAAGCAAAUCCCAGAUCCCGCUGGGAGCGUUUUGGGAUAAUCCAGGCCUGAUCCCAAAGCUUGGGGUUUUUUUGGGGAUUUUUUGGGAAUUUUUCCAGCUCAAUCCUUGGAUUCGGGGUUCUCCAAGGGAUAAUCCAUUCCUGGUGGAAUUGGGAAUUCCUGCUUUUGAGAUUUUUGGGAUGAGCCACAGGGAUCGGGACAACUCCUGCCAGUGGAAAAAUGGGAUUUUGGCUUUGGGAAAUCCCUGGAAUUCAAGCUCCAGAGGCAUUCCCAAAUUCCAGAGGCAUUCCCAAAUUCCAGGCACCAGCCUCAACUUCUCCCCUGGAGCUUGAUUCUACUGGAGGGAUUUUAGGAAUUUCAAACAGCUGGAAAAGGAAUUUUUUCCUGGCUGGGUCUCCCUGCUGCUGCUUUUCCUGCAGCCGGAGGGUCCCAAAUCCAUGGAAAAGUCACUGCCACCCCCUGGAAUUCCAGCUUUUCCUCCUGGCUGGGCUGGCUCUGGGAUCCAUCCCAAAUCCCUGGAAUUUCUCUGUCACUCCCUGGAAUUCCAGCUUUUCCUUCUGGAUCCCAAAUCCAUGGAAAAGUCACUGUCACCCUCUGGAAAAUCCCAAAUCCAUCCCAAAUCCCUGUAAUUUCACUGGAAUUCCAGCUUUUCCUCCUGGAUCCCAAAUCCAUCCCAAAUCCCUGGAAUUCCUCUUUCCCCCUGGAAUUCCAGCUUUUUCCAGUAUUUUUUAUGGAAAAAUGAGCACAAACCUGGAUCUGCUCCAAACCCUCCGAGAGGAGAAUUGGGAUGGGCAGAAAUCCAUUUAUCCCAUGGAAUAAUCCCAUUUUUUCUGGGAAUUUUGGGGCAGCCAGAUUUGCUUCAAUCUCCUCAAAACCUGAUGAGAUUUUGGUGGAAUUUUCAGGGAUAAAGCCCAAAUCAUGGCAAGGUUCCCGUGCCAAAAAAUUCCAAAAUUUUCCUCUUUAUUAUGAUAAAUAAAAACUUUUUACUCCUGGCCAAGGAAUUCCAAAUGAAAUUUCCAAUUUUUUCGGAGAUUCCAGCUUGGAAUUUUGAUCAUUUCCAAUUUGCUGCUGCUGAGAUUUUUUGGGUUUUCCUUCCUAAUGAGGAAAUUUUUAUCCUGGAAUUCAGAAUUCCUGAGGAUUUUCCAAAUUCCCAAGGAUUUUCUGAAUUCCAAAGGGGAAAAAAAAAACAAAAAAAGGAGGAACUAUGCAAAUAAUUCCAAGGAAUUUUAGCUCUGGAGCUGGGAAUUCCUGUCCUGCUGAAUUGCUGAAAAUUUAAAUUAUUGAAGGAUCAGCUCCUCUUUCCGGCUCUUCUUGUCUGGGAUUUGUUGUAAUUGUCGAAAAAUGGGAUUUGGGUCAUGAAAAAUGGGAUUUGUGGAAUUAAAAAUCUAAAAUGGGUUUGGGGCUAAGGUUUGGUUUUAUGGGUUUGGUUUUGGGUUUGAGUUUUGUGGGUUUAAUUUUGGGAUUUAUGGGGUUGAGGUUUGGGGGUUUAGAUUUGGGGUUGGGGUUAAAGUUUGGGUUUAAUUUGGGGAUUUGUGGUUGAAUUUUGUGGGUUUGGUUUUUGUUUUAUGGCUUUAGUGUUGAGUUUUGGGGUUGGGUGUUUUGGGUUUAGUUUUGGGGUUAGAGUUGGGUUUGUGGGUUUGGGUUUGUGCUUGAGUUUGGUGGAUUUAGAUUUGGGUUUGGGGUUAACGUUUGGGUUUAAUUCGGGGUUUUGUGGUUGAAUUUCAUGGGUUUGGAUUUGGUUUUAUGGGUUUAGUGUUGGGUUUUGUAGGGUUAGUUUUGGGUUUAUGGUUGGGUUUUAUGGGGUUAGCGUUGGGUUUGGGACUGGGUUUAGUUUUGGGUUUGUGCUUGGGUUUUGUGUGUUUAAUUUUGGGUUUAGGUUUGGGUUUUGUGGGUUUAGUUUUGGGUUUGGGAUUGGGUUUUGUAGGUUUAGUUUGGGCUCGGAGUUGACCUUUGCUUUUAUGGGUUCAAUUUGGAAUUUUCAGGGUUUCUCCUUCCUUUUCACCGUCCGGUUCCCUCCCCAAAGCUUUGGGCUCAGCCUAGUAAAACUCAGUUUUAAACCUCGGUUUAACCCCAGCAUUGCCUGGAUUUGUGUCUUUGCAAAAAGUGCCAAAAUAAAGA
ensembl:lncRNA